AAUAGAUACCCGGGUAGUCCACGCCGUAAACGAUGAGUGCUAAGUGUUAGAGGGUUUCCGCCCUUUAGUGCUGCAGCUAACGCAUUAAGCACUCCGCCUGGGGAGUACGGUCGCAAGACUGAAACUCAAAGGAAUUGACGGGGGCCCGCACAAGCGGUGGAGCAUGUGGUUUAAUUCGAAGCAACGCGAAGAACCUUACCAGGUCUUGACAUCCCACUGACCGGUAUAGAGAUAUACCUUUCCCUUCGGGGACAGUGGUGACAGGUGGUGCAUGGUUGUCGUCAGCUCGUGUCGUGAGAUGUUGGGUUAAGUCCCGCAACGAGCGCAACCCUUGAUCUUAGUUGCCAGCAUUUAGUUGGGCACUCUAAGGUGACUGCCGGUGACAAACCGGAGGAAGGUGGGGAUGACGUCAAAUCAUCAUGCCCCUUAUGACCUGGGCUACACACGUGCUACAAUGGAUGGUACAAAGGGCUGCAAGACUGCGAAGUCAAGCCAAUCCCAAUAAAAACCAUUCUCAGUUCGGAUUGCAGG
rnacentral:rRNA from 1 species